UACGUAGGGUGCAAGCGUUGUCCGGAAUUAUUGGGCGUAAAGAGCUCGUAGGCGGUUUGUCGCGUCUGCUGUGAAAUCUUAGGGCUUAACCCUGAGCUUGCAGUGGGUACGGGCAGACUAGAGUGCGGUAGGGGAGACUGGAAUUCCUGGUGUAGCGGUGAAAUGCGCAGAUAUCAGGAGGAACACCGGUGGCGAAGGCGGGUCUCUGGGCCGUAACUGACGCUGAGGCGCGAAAGCAUGGGGAGCGAACGGG
rnacentral:rRNA from 1 species